AUUGAACGCUGGCGGCAUGCCUAACACAUGCAAGUCGAGCGAGUGGCGGACGGGUGAUUAAUGUCUUGGAAACUUCCUGAUGGCGUGGGAUAACUACUGGAAACGUUAUCUCAUACCGCAUACCCUCAGCUGUUCCCAGAGGGGAUUAUCUCGUUGGUGGGGUAACGGCUCACCAAGGCGACGAUCCCUAGCUGGUCUGCGAGGCUGACAAGACACAUGGGAACUGAGACACGGUCCAGGGUCCUACGGGAGGCAGCAGGGGGUAAUAGUGCACAAUGGGCGAAAGCAUGAUGCAGACAUGCCGCGUGUGUGAAGAAGGCCUGCGGGUUGUAAAGGACUUUCAGCGGGGAGGCGGUACUCGCAGAAGAAGCACCGGCUAACUCCGUGCCAGCAGCCGCGGUAAUAC
rnacentral:rRNA from 1 species